rnacentral:rRNA from 1 species
UACGUAGGGGUCUAGCGUUGUCCGGAAUCAUUGGGCGUAAAGAGCUCGUAGGCGGUUCGGCAAGUCGGAUGUGAAAUCUCCACGCUCAACGUGGAGGGGCCAUUCGAAACUGCCGUGACUCGAGUCCGGUAGGGGAGUGCGGAAUUCCCGGUGUAGCGGUGAAAUGCGUAGAUAUCGGAAGGAACACCAGUGGCGAAAGCGGCUUCCUGGUCCAGCACCGACGUCAGGCACGAAAGCGUGGGGAGCAAACAGG